rnacentral:rRNA from 1 species
AUGCACGCUGGCGGCGUGCCUAAUACAUGCAAGUCGAGCGAACGGACGAGAAGCUUGCUUCUCUGAUGUUAGCGGCGGACGGGUGAGUAACACGUGGAUAACCUACCUAUAAGACUGGGAUAACUUCGGGAAACCGGAGCUAAUACCGGAUAAUAUUUUGAACCGCAUGGUUCAAAAGUGAAAGACGGUCUUGCUGUCACUUAUAGAUGGAUCCGCGCUGCAUUAGCUAGUUGGUAAGGUAACGGCUUACCAAGGCAACGAUGCAUAGCCGACCUGAGAGGGUGAUCGGCCACACUGGAACUGAGACACGGUCCAGACUCCGACGGGAGGCAGCAGUAGGGAAUCUUCCGCAAUGGGCGAAAGCCUGACGGAGCAACGCCGCGUGAGUGAUGAAGGUCUUCGGAUCGUAAAACUCUGUUAUUAGGGAAGAACAUAUGUGUAAGUAACGGUGCACAUCUUGACGGUACCGAAUCAGAAAGCCACGGCUAACUACGU